CUACGGGGUGCUGCAGUGGGGAAUAUUGGACAAUGGGGGAAACCCUGAUCCAGCAAUGCCGCGUGUGUGAAGAAGGCCUGCGGGUUGUAAAGCACUUUCGGUUGGGAGGACUGCUUCUAGCACUAAUAUUGUUGGAAGUUGACGUUACCUUCAGAAGAAGCACCGGGUAACUCCGUGCCAGCAGCCGCGGUAAUACGGGAGGGUGCAAGCGUUAAUCGGAAUUACUGGGCGUAAAGCGCGCGUAGGCGGCUAGAUCAGUCGGGUGUGAAAGCCCCGGGCUUAACCUGGGAACUGCAUCCGAUACUGUCUAGCUUGAGUACAGGAGAGGAGAGUGGAAUUCCACAUGUAGCGGUGAAAUGCGUAGAUAUGUGGAGGAACACCAAUGGCGAAGGCAGCUCUCUGGCCUGAUACUGACGCUGAGGUGCGAAAGCGUGGGGAGCAAACAGGAUUAGAUACCCCUGUAGUC
rnacentral:rRNA from 1 species